GCGGAAGGAUCAUUACAGUAUUCUUUUGCCAGCGCUUAAUUGCGCGGCGAAAAACCUUACACACUUGUUUUUCUUAUUUGAAACUAUUGCUUUGGUCUGUCUUAGAAAUAAGUUGGGCCAAAGGUUUACACCAAACUUCAAUAUUUAUAUUGAAUUGUUAUUUUAAUUAUUUGUCAAUUUGUUGAUUAAAUUCAAAAAUCUUCAAAACUUUCAACAACGGAUCUCUUGGUUCUCGCAUCGAUGAAGAACGCAGCGAAAUGCGAUAAGUAAUAUGAAUUGCAGAUUUUCGUGAAUCAUCGAAUCUUUGAACGCACAUUGCGCCCUUUGGUAUUCCAAAGGGCAUGCCUGUUUGAGCGUCAUUUCUCUCUCAAAUCUUCGGAUUUGGUUUUGAGUGAUACUCUUAGUCAGACUAAGCGUUUGCUUGAAAUGUAUUGGCAUGAGUGGUACUAGAUAGUGCUGAACUGUUUCAAUGUAUUAGGUUUAUCCAACUCGUUGACCAGUAAAGUAUUUGUUUAUUACACAGGCUCGGCCUUACAACAACAA
rnacentral:rRNA from 1 species